AGGAACUCUUGAAGGGCUUCGUGGCGCAAGACAGAGUACCCUGUUCCACAAAGCCCAAGGUAGCAAGUUCAAUCCCCCUUCUGUUCUGUCUGUCUGGUGCUUCCCCUAACUCACCGCUCUGCUGUGGCUCUAAGAACCGGCUGUAAGACAUAGGUAACAAGGUUCAUCGCCUUCAGGUUUGAGCCAGCCACGGCCGGGGGGGUUCCAGCUUUUCUUUUUUUUUUGGGAAAUAUUUCUGUUGUGUCAUCUUCUUCUACCCAUAGAAGAGCCAGCCGAUUCACAGAAGAGAAGGUGGCGCAACGGUAUUGUCUUUGCCUACGGACGCAGAGGUUGGGGGUUCGAACCCCCCUUGGUCUUUGUUUCGCUUAUACUUGGGUUGU